rnacentral:lncRNA from 1 species
CUUUGCAGAGUUCCUAGGUCUCAGAUUCCCUGGAGCUGAACCCUAUCUGGCCUUAUCUACAGCCUUAAAUGGGGAGAGAUUGGGCAGUGCAGGGUAACUCGCAGCACCUGACAGUAGGAGGAGCCUGGCAGCUUUUCGGAGGCUGUGGCUGAAUCAGCAAGGCUGGAGGCUGGAGGAGUCUGUACACACACUUUGUACUUGAACAAAACAAAGAGAAUCCUUAGUACCCUGAGGCUGGCGAUUUCCAUUUUUAUCUGGUUGAGCUCAUGUUGGUUUCUAAAGACACCUAGAUUUGAGAAGAAAAUUCCUUUGGUUCGCACCUUUAGACUCGAGUGAUACAGAGGUUAAAUUUUCUCCUAAGCUGUUCCUUUGCAGAACCAGCAAACUUCAUAGCACAGGAGGAAGCAAGAAGAACCUGAAAUCAUUGUUAAGGAGGAUACUCACUAUGGCAGAUGGAAGGAGCUCAGUCAACUAAGGGCUUUAUGACUCUGGAGCCCAAUGAUGCCUGUGUGCAAAUAAACCUGACUGGGCCCCAGGAUUAUUUGGGGGCCAAGUAAAUGUCUUCAGAGUAUCUCAAGACAUGUCAGACUUCCCAGUGGGAAUCUGGGAUUACAGGUGCCCACUUUGACACUGGUUCUGGGGAAUCAAAACUCAGGAAGGCUGCACAACAAGAGGUUUAUGCAUUUAUGUAUCUUCCCAACCCCAGGAAGCCCUUAUAAGGUGAGUUUGUAGGGGGGGAAAAAAGAUGAUGAAGUUUGUCUUCUGUCCUGAUAGUGAUGGUCCAGCAGCCAUGUUUGUUCUUGGAAUGGCUGACUUAUUCCCAUGCCUUUAAAUCCAAGCAGAAGUAACCCCCAGGGAUCCUGACUGCCGAUGCUAGGCAGCUGUAAAUGGGCAUGGUGGGACCAUUGCUGGGUUUGCUGCUACUUCAGACACAAUUUGCUAUCUAGAUAACAUAAAAGAAGACAGAUGUGCCGAAGCUCAAUCCAUUCUCGGUCCACGAAGACUGUACACAGCCCCAUUUUCUUUCUGGGAACAAAAUGGAUUUUGGUUAUUUUGGCUAAUUCUACUUUCUACCAUAAGCAAAAGCAACCAAACGGCAGCAGACCAUCUACCAUACUUGUUCAGUUUUCUUGUAGUUCUUCCUUUGACUGGAUCUGA